rnacentral:rRNA from 1 species
CGGUAAUUCCAGCUCCAAUAGCGUAUACUAAAGUUGUUGCAGUUAAAAAGCUCGUAGUUGGAUUUCUGCGGGGACGGAGCGGCCGGUCGCAACUUGCGACUCGAGCUAGCGCUUUCCCCGCAUCCUGCCGCGAACCGUGCUACCAUUAGCUUGGUGGCGCUGGGGAUCGGCUCGAUUACUUUGAGAAAAAUAGAGUGUUCAAAGCAGGCCACACGCCUUGAAUAAGUUAGCAUGGAAUAACGACUAAGGACUUUGGUUCUUUUCGUUGGUGUUCGGGACUGAAGUAAUGAUUGAUAGGGACAGUUGGGGCGGUCCGUAUUCCAAAGCGAGAGGUGAAAUUCUUAGACCUUCGGAAGACGAACAGCUGCGAAAGCGCUCCGCAAGGAUGUUCCCUUUGAUCAAGAACGAAAGUUGGGGGAUCGAAGACGAUCAGAUACCGUCGUAGUCUCAACUAUAAACUAUACCAGCUAGGGAUCGGCCAACGUUUAAUUUAUCGACUUGGUCGGCACCUUAUGAGAAAUCAAAGCAUCUGGGUUCCGGGGGGAGUAUGGCCGCAAGGCUGAAACUUAAAGGAAUUGACGGAAGGGCACCACCAGCCGUGGAGCCUGUGGCUUAAUUUGACUCAACACGGGAAAACUUACCAGGUCCGGACAUAGUAAGGAUUGACAGAUUGAUAGCUCUUUCUUGAUUCUGUGGGUGGUGGUGCAUGGCCGUUUUUAGUCGGUGGAUGUGAUCUGUCUGCUUAAUUGCGUUAACGGACGAGACCCCAGCCUGCUAAAUAGCGCGGCCGAGCUUUGCUCGGUGCGAGCUUCUUAGAGGGACCAUGAUGCGCGAUAGCACAAGGAAGUUUGGGGCAACAACAGGUCUGUGAUGCCCUUAGAUGUUCUGGGCCGCACACGGGCUACACUGGCGCCUGCAACGAGCAUAUCAGCUGGCCCGAGAGGGUCUUGGCUAAUCUUUGGAACCGGCGCCGUGCUUGGGAUUGACCAUUGCAAUUGUUGGUCAUGCAACGAGGAAUGCCUUGUAAACGCGAGUCAUCAGCUCGCAUUGAAUACGUCCCUGCCCCUUGUACACACCGCCC